CUGACUGUCAGUGAGGGAUCAUUAGUGAUCCUGCUCAGCCGUUGGUCAGCGCUGCAGUGGCCCCUCCCACAAGCAACCAACUGUCAGUGAGUGACCCUUAGUCUGGGCAUUCAGCCAAAGGCCUGUGGAAUGGUGGUCCUCAGACUGAGAGUGGGGUGGAGUCUUUAUCAUCUGAGCCACUUUGUAUUUCGGCAGUUUGCCAUCUUCAGUUGCCAAUGCAGAAGCUGAUCCAAGCCAUUUAUACUCCAGAAGCUUUGGGAGAAAAAAUUGGUUUCAUUCAACGGAAGCUGCCAGUCACCCUCCACCCUCUGUCUAUUGUGAGGCAGAACAAAGGCACCAGGGCUGCAGAACCUCCUCAGAAGCUAGAAGCAUCACCACCCCUUGCCUGAUCACUCCCCACAGUGCAUCUCUGUUUCCCAGAAGUGUCAGCGUCUCUGUGUUGUGGAAAAGCACUCGUGCUGAACACCAAAUCUGAAAAUCUUAGAGCCAGCUUGUACUUUGCAUAAAUUACAGAGAAGCCUGGAAGUCAGUCCAGCAAUGCAUCACAUUCCGAGUGCCUCGCCAGGUGCGGGGCAUGGAGACACAGACCUAAAGCAGCAAAUAAUAACUCCAGUAGGGAUGGUUGCUGCAAUGUUUCACCAAUUAGUAAACAUUGAUAUUGCGAGUGAAGACGCAGACACACUGCCUCAGAACAGGAAGUCUCGGCCAUCCAGGUGCAGGUCUGAUUCAGAUUGAGACAUUCUGACAGCUGCUGGAAUCACAUUUCCCAAAUGCAGUGAUUGGUUGCCUUUGCUGGACAUGGGAACUUGCCCCUAUCUGAGCUUUAGAAGGAUAUAGUUUGUGAGAAAUUCCUCUGAUAAAAGUCAAGGCUACUUCAAGGCUUGCAUGGGCUUCCUCCCAACAUAGAGGCUGUAUCAGAGGAUGGGGAUCCCAAGAGAGAGGGCACGUGGAUGCUGUAUCAACUUGCACAACUCUGCUUCCAAAGGCACUCAAGUCACUUCUGCUACUUUCUACUUUUUCCCAAGUGGGCCAUUCAGGCUAAAGGGGAGUGGGGUGGUAUUUAGCUGUGUCUUCUGGGGGAAGAGUGUUAAAGGAUUGGUGGACACUGUCAAGUCACCACAAGUGUCCUGAGAUAUGAGAAGUGAUUCCAUGACUUCAGACCUGUUUUUCUUCCCCUGUGUGGCCUGCAACUCCCUGCCCUGCCCCAGGUUCCUAGGGAAAGCAAACUCCCAAUCAGUCAAGCAGAUGGAACAGCCAGCAAGCAGCCAAAAGGGAAGUGCCAGAUGCCACCUGGAGUGCUGCCUCUCUUCCCUCUGCUGGGGGAACUCUGGCCAGGGAGGGGCUCUAAGGGCUUCCUGAUGUGUUCAGAGGUCAGUAGUCCAGGGCGAAGUCCACAGGAAACAUUCACUGGUUCAUUCAUUCAUUCAUCCACAAAUCUUUCUUGAGCAGUUUCCAAGCACCGUUCUCAGCACGGAGGCUGUUGAACAGGGAGAUUAACAGACCCUCUCGUCUAAGCUGCUCAGCCCAGGGGACAAGGUUCAGGGGAGCCGGCAGAAUCCCCUACACGUGAGGAUCAGAAGACCACCUUGGGCAAUGAGGAGAGGAACCUGCCUCUCACCGGAGCCAGCACAAGGGUCUGUGAGCGAGCUGGGGACACCCCAGGACCGCUAACCCUACAUCUCGGUUGACUUUGCUCCUGAUUGCUGCCCACACCCAGCGGCUCUGAGCUCCUGGGAGAGGCUGGGAGACGCUGCCGGUGCCCGUGAGUCACGAGUGUAAAGUACGCCCAGGGCCUUGGCAGGCAGGUCUGUGCAAGGGUAAGGUGUCAUUAGGUGAACGCUGACAAAUGCUGCUUUCUCGAACCCUGGAGAUAAAAGAUAGGUUUCCCGCGCAGCCUUUUAUCUCUCCCACUGUGUUGGGGUGGG